CUCUGAUAUGUAACAGCUUUGAAAGAUACUCGACAAUUACAGAACCAUAAAGAUGCUUCCUAUCAGAAGAAACAAAAAACAUAGUAAAGGAGAGAGAAAAACCUAAAAGAACUAAGAGGAUUAGGAAGAUAAGAUGUAUUAGAUUCUACCCAGAAAAAAAAUAUUAUAUGAAGAAAAAUGGUAAAAAUCACAUGCGAAUGGAGCAGGUAGAGGUCCUCUUCCAAAAGAAAGAAAAUUAUGGAAAGAAACCUUAUUUUUCGAAGAUAAAGAAAUAGAAGAGACUAAAAUUACUUUAAAAAUAGCAAGUCAACAAGCAGUGACAUAACAAAUGAAUUUUACAAAAUUACAUAUAUUUUGCUG